GAGAUUCAUCAGGAGGGGGCGACGUCCACUCAUGUUUCCAACACACAAAGAGCCCACCCAAAAAAUUGACUGUGGCUGGAGGGAUGAAAGAAGAAACAGGAACACUGAGCUCCUGGGGAGAGCACAGCAGGUUCUGCAACAGGCUGCAGCAGCUCUGAAAACAGCAUGGCUCCUGGACUCUGCAGGAAGUGCAAAGGUAGUACAUUUUCAUAGCAAGAUAGGCUGAUGGAAAGAUUCCCCUUAACAUCUCUAGUUUUGAGAGAAGACACACCGCACUAACAGUAUUCUUCGUUACCUGGCCAGCAGCACACUCAGCUACUUUGCAGUCAGGAGACCUGAUCUUCAUAAGUACUUUGGGGCUAAACAGACUCAUGCUUGGAUCAGAGAGAUUCCCUGGGGGGAAUAUGUCUCAGCAGUGCCCAUGGCAAGGUCUUUCUGUGCCCACUUUCUGUGCUCAUUAGCUGGCUCCUUCACCCUCUGAGCUGAUCAACCCACUGAAAGAUCGUUAUCCACUCAGAGGUUUGCAAAGUGGAGAAAAAAAAAGUCAUUUCCACAGCCCAGGGGAAAAGAGCAACGCAGCCUAUUAAGGCUCCAUCUCUGAAAACUUCAUUAAUGCUUAUUGCAUAAUGAGACACUUCACUUUACAGCAAGCUUCCUAAUCACUGGAAAUUGUGUGUUAAGCUAGCCUCAGCCACGGUGUCCAUGGCACCCUCCCAGCACUGUAUCACAAGCUGGCGAAUCUUGACAGUCGCCCGUGUUAAACACACCUUCCUCUCAUUGUCAGAGGAUCUAGGGAAAGCCUUAGUUGGUCUAGGCUACUUCAGAUUACUCUGUAAGAGGAAAUCAAGGCCACCUGGACCAGCCAUUCCCCUAUGCUAUGGAAAAGGUGUGUUUCAUACACUGCAGCUGCUUGGGUGCAAGUGAUACACAGCACAGGACAGUGGGGAGAAGGGGCCUUGUUCUCCAGGGUAUCCCCUAGAAAACUCCCCGCACUGAGUACAGUGACCCAAGCUGGACCCUGAGGUGUAUGACUUUGUCAGGCUGGGUUGGGUGUGUGGUUCCCAUCUCCUUCAGUGUAGCUGAUGGAGCUACAAGAUGUCCCACAGGAGAUCCUGGAGUCAAAAAAAGCCUGCACCAGAAAAAAGUGGGGCAGAGCACAUGGCAGCAGCAUGUGCCAUCCAAAACCAGAGCCUGGCUGGUCAAAACUACACUCUGCGGACCUGGAUUGGCACUGCUGGAGCCCUGGAAGGCCUCCAAAACCCCAGGAACACAGGACUAGAAGGGCCUCCCAAGCCAUUGAGUCUCUUCUUUUGCAGGCAACUAUUUAUCCAAGGAGUCCCAAAAACCACCCACUGCAAUGCCUUACACAUGACAACCACAUGGCACCUUGUGAAAAGGAAACCACAUGUGCCUGCUGCCUGCCACAAGGGAGACCAGGGCACCACCCAUGCUCUGCCUUGGCAGUGGGAGGGAAGUUAGGAGUCUGGUACAUGCUCCAAGCAAGAGGACCACACCUCAUGUAACGGGAAAGGAAAAACCACCGCAGUCCUUGCCAGUCUCCUCCGGGGCGAAAAUUUCUUCCUCUUCUCAAAUAUGGCAAUUAGCUUGGCUCUGAGCUUAAGAGCAAGACUUUCCAGCUGGCCUCCUGGGAGGUGAACCAGACCUUUUACUGAGAAAAGAAAAUGGAGGGUCUCAUGCAUUCACUUGAUGCCAGACCUGGGGCUUUAAAGAAGACAUGCAGGCUAACGCAAAGCAAGUAAUGAAACGGCAAAGGGUGGUGCUAUUGGCUCCUGCGGGUGCAAGGUGCUUGUCACAUCAUAGGGAGGAAGAUCACAGGGAACAGAUCUUGCCAAGACCAGGAUGAUUUACAUCUAUUUACAAACCAGGUACCUCCAGCCCACUCCUGCUCACUGACACCACCCCAAACCGCAGCUGUUCCCAAUGAACGCUUGCCAGACAACCCUGGGUCUUCACUGCACACUUGCUUACAACAAGAGACAGAAGAUCCUUCAUUAUAUAGGACUUCAGGCUCCAGUUCCCUCCUGUUGAGCAUGCUUUGCAAACAAGGAAGUUGAAAAGCAAGCUGUUUUCUCCCCCACUUUUUCAAGAAAGCAAGACUGAGGUACUGUGCCCAGCUCUCCAAUGCUAUUGGACAAACGUUGGCUGGGGCGGUUUGGCCAGUGAUGAUCCUGCCUUGUGAGGUCCCUUCCAGUCCUACUUUCCUAUAAUCCUAUGAUUGCACUUUGGGAAGGAGGAAUAGGGGGCUGGCAAAGCCGGGGAGGGCUGUGCGCUGGGUUCUUCUUGCCUGAUUUGGUACUGAUGGCAAGACUGAGGAGCCUUGGCUUGUCCUUGGGGCUCUGGUCAACUAACAAAAAAUGCAACUAGUCUGUUAUGGCCAUGCCUUUCUGUUCCCCAUUGCUAACAUGCCUUGUCACAAGCUACAGAUGGAUGCCAUCUUUGUGGUGGGAUCAGCUGUGCCAAGAUGUGUCACAGCACAGCUGAUCCUACAGGUGAGCAGAGACAUACAGUGCCUGGGGUAGCCUGCCCGAGCUCUCCUAACAUAAGUGAAAGGAUGUCCGCACAACAAAGCUGCACAAAUUAUUAGUAGGAAUAGUCAUUCUCACAAUUGUGGGCAUUUGUGGUGUGACAGGGCAGGGGUGUCUGUUUGCUCAGGCUUUAUGCUGCCAUCAAAAUUUUUUAUGGAUUUUUUUUUUUUU